ACAGACAUCAUACAGACCUGUUAACAAGGUUAAGGAAAGAAGGAAGUUAGAAGAAAAGCUCACAUAAUACAAACACAAGAGACAGACACACAGCCAUGGCACUUCAAGUUAUUUGCACAACAGCCAAUCCAAUAAUGAAGCUGAUCUCACAAGCAAUGGAACUCUUUCACAGAUUAUCAACUGCAAAGAGUAACAAGAUCAAUUUUCAGAUGUUAGCAAAUCGGGUAAAGUAUACAACUGAGAUCCUGGAGAAGUUGAAGACACGGGGUGAACCUGUCCAAGGUUUGGUGAGAAAGGGCAUAAAUGCAUUUACCUCAGCAAUGGAUUUGGCAGAGGACCUUCUCAAAAAGUAUGAAAAGAGCAAUAAGAUGGAACGCUUUUUUCAAGCCACCAGCCUGAGUGUCGAAUUCGAUAGUGCCAAUAGCCAGCUUACAAAUGCACAGCAAGAUCUCCUCCUUGCCCUGAGUGUGGAGCCAAGAUCUCUGAUGCAUAAUAGGAACAUGGGGAUGGAUAUAAUGCCAUGGCAGGGAGGAGCUGAAGGAGGAGUCAUGCCAAGUUACAGUCAACAACUGAUGCAGACACUGAUUCAAAGCUCAAAAGGUGUAAAUUUCAAACAGACAAUUGAACCAAAUGGGCGUUGUAUUAGAGAGAUUUAUUUUGAAUUCAGAUGCUUAGACCAAAGCCUCAAAACCUAAAGUUGUUGUUACCAUACCUUAAACACAUUUUCUGCUUUGCCACUUUUUUACACUUUUACACUUAUUGUGAAACACUACAGUUUCUUUUAGACACUUUGUUCAAAAAUGAAAUCUCUUGUAAUCAUUGGGAAAACACUUAUAUUUAAAAUGCAAAACACAUCUUUUUGGUAUAAUUUUUGGUUGCAAUUCUUAGGAAAACAGCAACUGUAAGAUUACUGAAUUUUUAUUUUUGGGUUUCAGAUAAGACAGAUAGUAAAGAUUGCAGUGUUUCAUAUAAAGCACAUCAAUAAUUUGUUAAGAGAGGAGUUUUCCUCCUUUAAGAGGCAAACUUUCCGGUAUGUUGAGGCUUUGACUUCUACUUUGUCUUUACUUCACUUUAAUUUCUCAGCUUUUCUAUCACCCCUUCUAUCCCCCUCCAACAUGUUCCCUACUAUUCUUGUACUUUACUCUUUCGUUUUGCCUCAUUCCAUCCUCGCCUCAUCUCAGCCGUCCAUGGACCAUCCCAGUGUACCUGCGAAAAAGCUGUCAUACCAAACCACUGGGUCUGGGAGAAGACAGCAAGGCCAAGGAACCUUGCAAGAUUGGGCAGCAUGACAUGAACUUUUUCAUUUUUAUCUCUUUUCCAAUAUUAUGUUCUUAGUACUUAGGCUUAAUGUGCCCCUUCCUUUUUAUCAUGUAAUUAAUAUCUAUCUCAUAAAUGUUUCACUUUAUUAUGA